rnacentral:rRNA from 1 species
AAAGCGUGCGCAGGCGGUUUUGUAAGUCAGAUGUGAAAUCCCCGAGCUCAACUUGGGAACUGCGUUUGAAACUACAAGACUAGAAUAUGUCAGAGGGGGGUAGAAUUCCACGUGUAGCAGUGAAAUGCGUAGAGAUGUGGAGGAAUACCAAUGGCGAAGGCAGCCCCCUGGGAUAAUAUUGACGCUCAUGCACGAAAGCGUGGGGAGCAAACAGGAUUAGAUACCCGAGU